GCGGAUAUGGUGAAGUGGUUAACACUACGGUUUGUGGUAUCGUUAUGCGCGGGUUCGAGUCCCGUUAUUCGCCCCA
rnacentral:tRNA from 1 species